AUGGCCAAUAAUGAAUUCUUAGACACUUAUGAGUAUGUCAUCAAGAGCGUGCAAGGGGCAAAUGAUGAGAUAAAGGUGGAGAUUAAAGAGCUACGCAAGGAGACUAUUCGGCGCGUUCAGGAGACUUAUCAGCUUUGGGAUGAGAGGGAUAAGCUCGUCGAGGCUCGGGAUAAACUAAAGGAGGAGAGAAGACUCCUCAGGGCUGAGAGAAUUGACCUGAAGAUGGACAUAGAUCAUUUCAGAAGAGAAGGAGAGGGGGAUAGAAAGAAGCUUCAACAGCUGGGCAUACUCCUUGAUGAAUAUUAG
rnacentral:rRNA from 1 species